AUUGAACGCUGGCGGCAUGCCUUACACAUGCAAGUCGAGCGGCAGCACGGGGGCAACCCUGGUGGCGAGUGGCGAACGGGUGAGUAAUACAUCGGAACGUGUCCUGUAGUGGGGGAUAGCCCGGCGAAAGCCGGAUUAAUACCGCAUACGCUCUACGGAGGAAAGGGGGGGAUCUUAGGACCUCCCGCUACAGGGGCGGCCGAUGGCAGAUUAGCUAGUUGGUGGGGUAAAGGCCUACCAAGGCGACGAUCUGUAGCUGGUCUGAGAGGACGACCAGCCACACUGGGACUGAGACACGGCCCAGACUCCUACGGGAGGCAGCAGUGGGGAAUUUUGGACAAUGGGGGCAACCCUGAUCCAGCAAUGCCGCGUGUGUGAAGAAGGCCUUCGGGUUGUAAAGCACUUUUGUCCGGAAAGAAAACGCCGUGGUUAAUACCCGUGGCGGAUGACGGUACCGGAAGAAUAAGCACCGGCUAACUACGUG
rnacentral:rRNA from 1 species